rfam:Hyphopichia burtonii NRRL Y-1933 unplaced genomic scaffold HYPBTscaffold_4, whole genome shotgun sequence.
GGUCUUAUGGUGUAGUGGUAUCACAUCAGAUUCUGAUUCUGACAACCUGGGUUCGAUCCCCAGUAAGACCU